UUUAGUCUGUGUCAACUUAGUAUCUUUUUUCUAUCGUGACCUUGGAACAAGAUCAUAAUUAACUAUGCCAUAGUUUGAGAAAGUUAUUACUGGAAAAAUGCAAGGUUGAUGAACAUUCAAGCCCAAGAAUACUGCCUUGAAUUCAAAUGAAGAAGAGGAGAAAGGGAAGGUAAAAAAUGCAGAGAGGACAAGCAAGAAACCAACAUAUGAAGCAGGUUUUCAAAUCAGCCUGGAGAUGCUCAGAGCAACAUGAUCCAACUUACAAGGCAGCUCCGCUUCAAGCAGGACAUCGGACAGGAUGACCUUGAGAGGACCUUCACCAUCAACAUUUUUCCAUAACUGUAUGAUACUCCAGUUCCCACAUGAAACACUAUGCUAAGUAUACACUAUGGACUUGCACAUUAAGAGCUGUGAAGGGUUAGAAAAUACAAACAUGUGAAGGAUUUGAGUUGAAAUUUGCUUUUGUCCUGAACAGGAAAAAUCUAAUUCUUAAUUCUGAAAAGAUGACACCUUCAGUCUUUCAGGAGCCUUCACUUAAAUAAUGAGAUUCAGUGUUAUACACAACUGAAAUAAUAUUUUUUUUAAGUCACUAUAUAAAUAGUACAUAAAUGUAUGAAAUAAGAGGGCUUUUCCCUUGAACAGAAUUUUGAGUGAAAUUCCCUUGAUUUUUACCAUUAAAAACUACUUAAUCUAUUAGUUUGAAUUAUAAUCUUCCAGGUCCUACAUUACGUACUCUUGACAAACACCAAACAGAAGAGUUCUACAUUAGAAUGAGUUUUGAAUUUAAGUAGAUAAUUUGGACUAAGGAGAAUAAGGGCACAAAUAGUGCAUCAAUCUUCACAAAACAUGGCUGAUCAGGAACUUGGAAAAAUUGCAUUUAAAACAAAUUUAUUUUUCUUUGAUUCUAUUAACAGCAAAAGGAUUAUUCUCUUUUUCUUGCAAGUAUGAAUCUGCAGCAAUGUCACAUUUCUUUUUAGACAACUUUUAUGAGAUUAUUUGAUUAUAUCAUUGAAUUGAGCAAAAAAUGUGGUGUACUAUGUGCCCUCUUAAAUACAGAUCUCAGUGUAUAUUAAUCAAAUCAGAGUAUCUUACAGUGAUUUUGUGGUUAAGAAAACUGGGGCUAUUUUACAUAAAAGUGAAAUAAGUAUUUCAAUUCAUUUUAAUCCAAGCUGUUUAGGAAUAUUUAAGAAGACCAUAUGUGCAAAGAUUUUAUCAAGGUAGAAUCACAUUUAUCUGUAAAACAGGUGAAAGUUUUGGUGUUAAAGACGUUUCCAAUAGAGGAAAUUAUACUUAUUAGAACUCUGCACCACAAAAUACAGGAUGCAAGUGUCAUUUGUUUAUUCCAAAUUUUAAACAUCAUGCAUAUAUUAACAGUGUCUGACAAAAUAAACAGGUUCCUUCUUAUUCAAGAAAAACUAUAAAUUAAUAAAUCAGUGAUAACAUAAUUCAACAGA